AUCUGAUUGGGCAGCACAAAUACUAGAAUUGGAACCAUACUGAGAAGAUUAACAUAGGCCCUGCCCAAGAAUGUCAUGCAAAUGUGUGAACCGCUCAAAUCCACC